rnacentral:rRNA from 1 species
UACGUAGGGGGCAAGCGUUGUCCGGAUUUAUUGGGCGUAAAGAGCGUGUAGGCGGCCGCACAGGUCCGUUGUGAAAACUGGAGGCUUAACCUUCAGACGUCGAUGGAAACCGUUUGGCUAGAGUCCGGAAGAGGAGAAUGGAAUUCCUGGUGUAGCGGUGAAAUGCGCAGAUAUCAGGAAGAACACCCGUGGCUAAGGCGGUUCUCUAGUACGGUACUGACGCUGAGACGCGAAAGCGGGGGGAGCGAACAGG